rnacentral:rRNA from 1 species
CCUACGGGUGGCAGCAGUGGGGAAUAUUGCACAAUGGGCGCAAGCCUGAUGCAGCCAUGCCGCGUGUAUGAAGAAGGCCUUCGGGUUGUAAAGUACUUUCAGCGGGGAGGAAGGGAGUAAAGUUAAUACCUUUGCUCAUUGACGUUACCCGCAGAAGAAGCACCGGCUAACUCCGUGCCAGCAGCCGCGGUAAUACGGAGGGUGCAAGCGUUAAUCGGAAUUACUGGGCGUAAAGCGCACGCAGGCGGUUUGUUAAGUCAGAUGUGAAAUCCCCGGGCUCAACCUGGGAACUGCAUCUGAUACUGGCAAGCUUGAGUCUCGUAGAGGGGGGUAGAAUUCCAGGUGUAGCGGUGAAAUGCGUAGAGAUCUGGAGGAAUACCGGUGGCGAAGGCGGCCCCCUGGACGAAGACUGACGCUCAGGUGCGAAAGCGUGGGGAGCA